rnacentral:rRNA from 1 species
CAAUAGCGUAUAUUAAAGUUGUUGCGGUUAAAAGCUCGUAGUUGGAGUUCUGCCAGGUGCCGCCUGUCCGCCCCAGUGGUGAGUACGUGGCGCGCAUUUGGCCCUUUCAAGGGGAGCGUAUCUGCACUUUAUUGUGUGGUGCGGGAUCCUUGACUUUUACUUUGAGGAAAUUAGAGUGUUCACGGCAGGUAUUCGCCUUGAAUAUAUUAGCAUGGAAUAAUAAUAUAGGAUCUUGGUUCUAUUUUGUUGGUUUCUAGAGCUAAGAUAAUGAUUAAUAGGGACAAUUGGGGGCAUUCGUAUUAAUGCGUCAGAGGUGAAAUUCUUGGAUUGCAUUACGACGAACUACUGCGAAAGCAUUUGCCAAGGAUGUUUUCAUUGAUCAAGAACGAAAGUGAGGGGAUCGAAGACGAUUAGAUACCAU